rnacentral:rRNA from 1 species
AGUUCGGACUGCAGGCUGCAACUCGCCUGCACGAAGCUGGAAUCGCUAGUAAUCGCGAAUCAGAAUGUCGCGGUGAAUACGUUCCCGGGUCUUGUACACACCGCCCGUCACACCAUGGGAGUCAGUAAUGCCCGAAGUCAGUGACCCAACCGUAAGGAGGGAGCUGCCGAAGGCAGGACCGAUAACUGGGGUGAAGUCGUAACAAGGUAGCCGUAUCGGAAGGUGCGGCUGGAUCACCUCCUUUCUAAGGAA